UAAGUAAGAAAAUUAGAACUG
rnacentral:piRNA from 1 species